rnacentral:rRNA from 1 species
UACGAAGGGGGCUAGCGUUGCUCGGAAUCACUGGGCGUAAAGGGUGCGUAGGCGGGUUAUUAAGUCAGAGGUGAAAUCCUGGAGCUCAACUCCAGAACUGCCUUUGAUACUGAGGAUCUUGAGUUCGGGAGAGGUGAGUGGAACUGCGAGUGUAGAGGUGAAAUUCGUAGAUAUUCGCAAGAACACCAGUGGCGAAGGCGGCUCACUGGCCCGAUACUGACGCUGAGGCACGAAAGCGUGGGGAGCAAACAGG